rnacentral:piRNA from 1 species
CGAGACUUUAAUUUUUGAGCU